UACGUAGGUGGCAAGCGUUGUCCGGAUUUACUGGGCGUAAAGAGCGCGCAGGCGGUCGUUCAAGUCGCGUGUGAAAGCCCCCGGCUCAACUGGGGAGGGUCACGCGAUACUGAUCGACUCGAAGGCAGGAGAGGGUAGUGGAAUUCCCGGUGUAGUGGUGAAAUGCGUAGAGAUGGGGGAGAACACUCGUGGCGAAGGCGGCCAGCUAGACCAGUUCUGACACUGAGGCGCGACAGCGUGGGGAGCAAACAGG
rnacentral:rRNA from 1 species